rnacentral:piRNA from 1 species
AUAGGUUGUAAAUUUUUAUCG